rnacentral:rRNA from 1 species
GAUGAACGCUGGCGGCGUGCCUAAUACAUGCAAGUCGAGCGAACAGAUGAGGAGCUUGCUCCUCUGACGUUAGCGGCGGACGGGUGAGUAACACGUGGAUAACCUACCUAUAAGACUGGGAUAACUUCGGGAAACCGGAGCUAAUACCGGAUAAUAUAGUGAACCGCAUGGUUCAAUAGUGAAAGACGGUUUUGCUGUCACUUAUAGAUGGAUCCGCGCCGCAUUAGCUAGUUGGUAAGGUAACGGCUUACCAAGGCAACGAUGCGUAGCCGACCUGAGAGGGUGAUCGGCCACACUGAAACUGAGACACGGUCCAGACUCCUACGGGAGGCAGCAGUAGGGAAUCUUCCGCAAUGGGCGAAAGCCUGACGGAGCAACGCCGCGUGAGUGAUGAAGGUCUUCGGAUCGUAAAACUCUGUUAUUAGGGAAGAACAAAUGUGUAAGUAACUAUGCACGUCUUGACGGUACCUAAUCAGAAAGCCACGGCUAACUACGUG